GACGAACGCUGGCGGCGUGCUUAACACAUGCAAGUCGAACGCUGAAGCUUGGUGCUUGCACUGGGUGGAUGAGUGGCGAACGGGUGAGUAAUACGUGAGUAACCUGCCCUUGACUCUGGGAUAAGCCUGGGAAACUGGGUCUAAUACUGGAUACGACAUGUCACCGCAUGGUGGUGUGUGGAAAGGGUUUUACUGGUUUUGGAUGGGCUCACGGCCUAUCAGCUUGUUGGUGGGGUAAUGGCUCACCAAGGCGACGACGGGUAGCCGGCCUGAGAGGGUGACCGGCCACACUGGGACUGAGACACGGCCCAGACUCCUACGGGAGGCAGCAGUGGGGAAUAUUGCACAAUGGGCGGAAGCCUGAUGCAGCGACGCCGCGUGAGGGAUGACGGCCUUCGGGUUGUAAACCUCUUUCAGCACGGAAGAAGCGAAAGUGACGGUACGUGCAGAAGAAGCGCCGGCUAACUACGU
rnacentral:rRNA from 1 species